rnacentral:rRNA from 1 species
GACGAACGCUGGCGGCGUGCUUAACACAUGCAAGUCGAACGGAAAGGCCUGCUUUCCCUUGUGGAUUGCGGGUACUCGAGUGGCGAACGGGUGAGUAACACGUGAGUGAUCUGCCCCCAACUUGGGUAUAAGCCUGGGAAACUGGGUCUAAUUCCCGAUAGGACUGCAGGGUGGUGCCUGUGGUGGAAAACGAUUUUCUAGUGGUUGGGGAUGAGCUCGCGGCCUAUCAGCUUGUUGGUGGGGUAAUGGCCUACCAAGGCGGCGACGGGUAGCCGGCCUGAGAGGGUGGACGGCCACAUUGGGACUGAGAUACGGCCCAGACUCCUACGGGAGGCAGCAGUGGGAAAUAUUGCACAAUGGGCGGAAGCCUGAUGCAGCGACGCCGCGUGGGGGAUGACGGCCUUCGGGUUGUAAACUCCUUUCGACCGCGAGGAAGCCACCUGGUUGGAAGGGUGGUGACGGUAGUGGUAGAAGAAGCACCGGCUAACUACGUG